rnacentral:misc_RNA from 1 species
GUGAAUUGUAGUAUCUUCUUCCUCGGUGUCACAUACUUUCGGGUUGUUUCGUAAACACUUUCAUUAGAUUCUACGAUGACCUCGCUAACGCUGUGCUUUGAAAAUAAUCAAGAGCGUUUCACUGAUGUAUUUCAUGAAGAUAUGGAUUUUAUAAUACUGACAUUUCUUUGUAAGAUACGGUUAAUCGGGUUCCUGACGAUGUCUGGCAAUCUUACGUCGACUAAUGAAUUUCUCUUCAAUUUCAAGCUUUAUUUGUACUACUAUUACAACUGGUGGUAGCCGUUCACGUCCCUGAACAUGUGACGUUACACGUUUGGUACCGAAAUCGAUACAUCUCCGAAU